CCUACGGGAGGCAGCAGUGAGGAAUAUUGGUCAAUGGACGAGAGUCUGAACCAGCCAAGUAGCGUGAAGGAUGACUGCCCUAUGGGUUGUAAACUUCUUUUAUAUGGGAAUAAAAUGUUCCACGUGUGGGAUUUUGUAUGUACCAUAUGAAUAAGGAUCGGCUAACUCCGUGCCAGCAGCCGCGGUAAUACGGAGGAUCCGAGCGUUAUCCGGAUUUAUUGGGUUUAAAGGGGGCGUAGGUGGAUUGUUAAGUCAGUUGUGAAAGUUUGCGGCUCAACCGUAAAAUUGCAGUUGAAACUGGCAGUCUUGAGUACAGUAGAGGUGGGCGGAAUUCGUGGUGUAGCGGUGAAAUGCUUAGAGAUCACGAAGAACUCCGAUUGCGAAGGCAGUUCACUGGACUGCAACUGACACUGAGGCUCGAAAGUGUGGGUAUCAAACAGGAUUAGAUACCCGGGUAGUC
rnacentral:rRNA from 1 species